UGACAGACGUUUCAAAUUUUUUGUAUGAUUAUUGUGUGAGAAAAAAAAAUCGGAGACCUUAGAACUUGAACGCACAAUGUAGAAGAGAAGAUGACAUUAGAGUUUUAGCUGCUGUGCAUUGUGAAAUUAACAAAGAAAGCAACCAUAUCCCUGGUAAAGUAUUCGUCCUUCUGCUUGGAUGAAAUAAAAAUUUAUAUGCAGUAGGUCACUUGACCAGUUAGGCCAUUAAGCGUGGUGCAGGAGAUCAUGAAUAUAAAAGAGAAAAUCCUGUCAUGAUGUAAACUAAUAAUUUUAUGUGCCUCUAUUACAUGGUGUCUGGAAAUUGUGAGGCCAUGUUUCUGUAAUGAA